CCUAGUUGAUUCUGCUAGUAGUUAUAUAUUUAUCUUAAAGAUUAAGCUAUGUAUAUUUAAGUAUAAGUAAUUAUAUAGUGAAACUGUGAAUGGUUUAUUAUAUAAAUUAUUGUUUAUUUAAUAGUAUCUUAUUAUUUAGAUAACUAUAGUAAUUUUAAAGCUAAUAUAUGCUAAAAAUUCCGAUUUUGGAAGGGAUGUAUUUAUUAGAUUAAAAACUAAUAUCUUUUGGGGCUUACUGGUGAUUUAUAAUAACUUCUCGAAUUGUAUGGUCUUAUGCUGGUGAUGGUUUAUUUAAAUUUCUUCCUUAUUAACUUUCGAUGCUAGAGUAGUGUUUUAGUAUGGUUAUAAUGGGUAAUGGAGGGUUAGGGCUUGACCCUGGAGAAGGAGCCUGAGAAAUAGUUACUAUAUCUAAGGAAGGUAGUAGGUAUGUAAAUUACCUAAUUCUGAUAUGGGGAGGUAGUGACGAUAAAUAUUGAUAUAGGGUUCUUUUAGGUUUUGUAAUUAGAAUGAGUAUAAUUUAAAUUCCUUAAUGAGGAAUAAUUGGAGGGUAAGUUUAGUGCUAGUAGCUGUAGUAAUUCUAGCUUUAAUAGUGUAUAUUAAAGUUGUUAUGGUUAAAAAGCUUAUAGUAGAAUUUUGGGCCUGGCUGGCUGGUCUGCCUCACUGUGUGUACUGGUCUGGCUGGGCCUUUCCCUCUGUGGAACUGUAUACUCUUUACUGGGUAUGCUAGGGAAACAGGACUUUUACUUUAAAAAAAUUAGAGUGCUCCAGGUAGGUUUAUACUUAAAUAUAUUAGUAUAGAAUAAUAGAAUAGGAUGUGUAGUUCUAUUUUGUUAGUUUCUAGGACUGCUGUAAUAAUUAAUAGGGAUAGUUAGGGGUAUUAGUAUUUAAUUAUUAGAGGUGAAAUUCUUGGAUUUAUUAAAGACUAACUACUGUGAAAGUAUUUACUAAGGAUGUUUUUAUUUAUUAGGAAUGAAAAUUAGGGGAUUGAAGAUGAUUAGAUACUAUUAUAGUCUUAACUAUAAACUAUGCUAACUAGGGAUUGGAUGAUAUUAUUUUUUGACUUGUUUGGUAUCUUAUAAGAAAUUAAAGUGCUUAGGCUUUAGGGGGAGUAUGGUUGUAAGGUUGAAAUUUAAAGAAAUUGACGGAAGGGUACUACUAGGGGUAAAUAGUAGCUAUUUAAGUUCUGCUCCAGAUAGUGAGUCUGUAAAGGGUCUGGUGGCUAGCUCUGAAUUGCUAGUUACUCUAGUAGUAGUAAUAUCUCCUAAUUAUGGGAAACCCUUGGAGGGUGGCAUUCCUAAGUAGCGCUUAAAAGAGACGCUGUGGCGGCGGCAUAACGGCCGCCAGUAUGGGGAUAAUGUGCUACUUAUGAGGCGACUCGCAGCUAAGCUCCUAAUUAUGGGGAAGGUUUAGAGACUUAAUGGGGAUAAGUAGUGCCUCUGGGUGCUGCCUAAGAUAGAGUCUGUACCUGCUUGAGAGAGUGGGGACUAAUUAGUAUAUUAUCUGAAAAGGGAGCCUGCAGUUUAAUUUAACUUAAUAUGGGGAAAUUUACUAGGUUUAGAUAUAAUGAGGAUUGACAGAUUGAGAGCUUUUUCUUGAUUUUAUGGGUGGUAGUGUAUGGCUGUUCUUAGUUGGUGGAGUGAUUUAUCUGCUUAAUUAUGAUAAUAAAUGAGAUCUUAACCUGCUAAAUAGUUUAUAUUGCUUUGGUAGUAUGCUGGCUUCUUAGAGGGACUAUUGGCUUAAGCUAAUAGAAGUUUGAGGUAAUAAUAGGUUAACUUUUAUAGG
rnacentral:rRNA from 1 species